UAAAGGAAAAAUGGAGGUACGGAGCGGUAAUGGAGGAGGAGGAGGAGGAGGAGACUACGUGCGUAAAAUGAAAAGCAGCAUGAAAAGAGAAAACAAAGAGGGAGAAUAAAGGUGAAGGAGGAAGACGAGGAGGACGAGGACGAAGAGAAAACGAGGAGAAUGAGAAACAGUAUGUAAAGAGAAAACGGUGAGAGGAAUAAAGGCGUGAAAAAGGAGGCGUGGGAAGGAAACGAGAGAAGAAAAGGGAAGGACGAAGACGAAGAGGACGAAGAGGAAACGAAGAGAAUAAGAAACAGUAUGAAAGGAAAAAACGAUGAGAGGAAUAAAGGCGAGAAAAAGGAGGUGAAGAAAAAGGAGGAGGAAGGAAACAAAAGAAUAAAGGUGAAGGAAGAAGACGAAGAGGACGAAGAGGAAACGAGGAGAAUAAGAAACAGUAUGAAAGGAAAAAACGAUGAGAGGAAUAAAGGCGAGAAAAAGGAGGUGAAGAAGAAGGAGGAGGAGGAAAAUAACGAAAGAAUAAAGGUGAAGGAAGAAGACGAAGAUGACAAGGACGAGGAGAAAGCGAGGAGAAUGAGAAAAAAAGUAUGUAAGGAGAAAACGGUAAGAGGAAUAAAGACAAGAUAAAGGAGGUGAAGAAGGCGGAGGAGGAGGAAGAAAACGAGAGAAGAAAAGAGAAGGGCGAUGACGAAGAGGACGAGGACGAAGAGAUAACGAGAAGGAGAAACAGUAUGUAAGGAGAAAACGGUAAGAGGAAUAAAGACUAGAAAAAGGAGGUGGAGAAAAAGGAGGAGGAGGAAGAUAACAAAAGAAGAAAAGGGAAGAACGAAAACGAAGAGGACGAGGAAGAGGAGAAAGCGAGAAUAAUAAAAAGUAUGUAAAGCGAAAACUAUGAAGAAAAUAAAGAAGAGAAGGAAGUGAAGGAGGAGGAGUAGGAGGGGAAAAAAGAGAAAGAGAAGAACAAAUAAAGGAGGCUUAUUUUUUUUACUACACUGGAGGAAUUAGAGGAAGGAAAAAAACAAGAAUAAACAUAAAAUACAACCGCUGUAAUGAGGAAGAAACCUUGAGGCAAAAACUGCACGAAGGAAAGAAUACAACUGUGAAAAAAAAAAGGAAAGAUGUCGGAAAUAGUGGGAUACUGGUGGAGGAGGAGGAGGAGGAGGAGGAGGAAGAAGUAUGACAGGUGGAUUUGGCUGUGGAGGAAAGGAGGAAAGAGUUUGUGGAGUUCAGUCGGCGGAAUGGAAGGAAAAAAAGAAUGGAAAAAAAUAUAGAAGAAAGGAAAGGGAAACGAAAACGUGAUUAGUGGCUUUCCUCGGAGACACUACACUAAAACGAGCAAUGGAGAGGAAGAGGCGGGGAAGGAAACUUGGAAGCAUGGUUGAGCAGGCGACAUAAGGCUUGUUGACACAUAACGAAGAUGUCUGCUUUAGUUUUUGUUCUCAGGCAGUUAUGUGAUGCGCAGAACAUAUCAAAACACUUGG